rnacentral:rRNA from 1 species
UACGUAGGGGGCUAGCGUUGUCCGGAAUCAUUGGGCGUAAAGAGCGUGUAGGCGGCCCGGUAAGUCCGCUGUGAAAGUCGGGGGCUCAACCCUCGAAUGCCGGUGGAUACUGUCGGGCUAGAGUGCGGAAGAGGAGUGUGGAAUUCCUGGGUGUAGCGGUGAAAUGCGCAGAUAUCAGGAGGAACACCAAUGGCGAAGGCAGCACUCUGGGACGUGACUGACGCUGAAGACGCGAAAGCGUGGGGAGCAAACAGG